AGUAUAAGAGUUUUGUGGGUUAUAGUCUUGAAAAUUAGGGUUUGAAUAGCUGGUGAGAAUUUCUAAGAUAUCUAUCAAUCCACUAGUUGGAUUGAAAUUCAAUUUAAUUCAUAGGUAGUUAGAUUGACUUUCAACAAUUAUACAAAGUUUGAAAUUAAUUGAAUGGUAAAAUUAAGAGAUUACGGUCCAAAAAUAUCAA
rnacentral:lncRNA from 1 species